UUGAGCACUAUAAUUUUCAUAUAAUGUAUAUCCUCAUCCAUCUUCAUAUGAAAACAUUGUGAUUAUUUGUCGAAAUAGAGAUAGAUACAUCUUCAAUGGAUGUCGUUUCUUGAUCAUAGAAUACUCUGGAAAUUACCAUAUUAAUUUCAGCAGUAUUUACAGAGGCAAUCUGUGAUUUGCAGUAAAAGUGGUGUCCAGUGUACUACCACAUAAGAUGAAUAGCUUGAUGGAUGAGUACUGUCCCUAUAUUUUAGUUGGUGCUAGUGUACUCAUCAUCAAUUGAGCGGGAGCUAACUGUACAUUGGACCCAACAAUAUAUCUCCCC
rnacentral:lncRNA from 1 species